UUUAAUGAAACUUAAUGAUAUAUAAAAUAUCAUAAUAUUUGAAGGAGUAUGGAUGUUUUUGUAUGAAGAAAAUAUAUUUGAUGAAAACCUUCUCCGAUUCACUAAUGAACCAAAACAUUGAAACCGCUCGCGCCAUCAUUUCCAAAUGGGAACUUAUUUCUCCUUCUGACCAAACCGCCCCUCUAUUCAGCAACACACGCCAAGAAGCCAAACAGUACCUUAAUUACUGACCAAACGCUGUCAAGAUCGCCGUUGGCACUCUCUUUCACGGCGAGAGAACGCUCUGCAACUACGUCUUCGGUUCGCCGGAGAGGAAGACCGCGGAGAAAAUGUUCAGGACGCUGGAUUUGUACGAAGCGAUCUCUGAAAACCGUCAACAAAUUGAGUCCAUCUUCUCCUCUGAAUCAACAUCCUCCAUCAGAUCGCAGGUACUUGCUUCUCAAACGAGGCUCGGCGAGGCGGUUCGGACGAUGUUAAACAACUUCGAAUCCGCGAUUCAGAAGGGAUCCUCCAAGAUUCCGGUGCCUGGUGGCGAGAUCCACCCGCUCACGAGCUACGUCACGAACUACAUCGCGUUCCUCGCCGAUUGGCCGCAAAAUCUGUUGCCGGAGUCUUACUACCGUAGUCCCGAUUAGCUGAACGGAUGGCGUGGUUGAUAUUAGAGCUCCUCUACAAGGAGGUCCGCAACUCAAACCUAGGGUUCAUCCUCGGGGAGAAUUGGUUGACGAAGCAUGAAUUGAAGGUGAAAGAGUAUGCUUCCAAGUACGAGCGCGUGGGAAGGAAACGGUUUUUAACGUUAAGCACCUGCAAUGCAACUAUGCAUCUUGAAAGAUGCGUUUAAGAUCUUUGUUCUCUUCAUUCUCUGGAUGUAUCGCUCUAACUUUAUACUCUUGCAUGCUCGUGUUUGACGGAGAUGAAGCAGCUGAAAUUUUAACUCAGUUCGCUUCCUUUUUCUUAUGUUUUUUAUGCAACUAAAGUUAUAUGCGCAUCAUAUAUGCUACACAAAGUAAAUACAGUAUGAUACCAUAUAUAUUAUCCUAGAGAUUAUUAUUUAUUGAGAAUCAAACAUGAAUAAUAUCAAAACNNNNNNNNNNNNNNNNNNNNNNNNNNNNNNNNNNNNNNNNNNNNNNNNNNNNNNNNNNNNNNNNNNNNNNNNNNNNNNNNNNNNNNNNNNNNNNNNNNNNUUUUUUAUGUUUUUUAUCCAAAUAAAAGUUAAAUGCGCAUUCAUAUUAUCUCCACAAAAGUAAAUACAGUUAGAAUCCCAUAUUAUUUAUCCUAGAGAUUAUUUUUUUUUGAGAAUUCAAACAUUGAAUAAUAUCAAAACUAUUUUUCUGUUCUACUCGUAUCAAAUUAUAAUAUUCGUAUCCUAGCUUAUCUUGCGCCAAAUUACACUAUGGAAAAUAUAUAUAUAUAUAUAUUCAUGUUUAUCCCAUAACAGUAUUUUAAAAUUUAUAUAUUUUGUAAAUCUACAUAUUUCAAUUUUCAAAAAGUUUAUUAUCAUGUAUUAAUUAAGUAUGAGGGGGGUUUAUGUAAGGUUUAAGAAAUAGAUAACAUUUUGUGUAAUGAGACAAAACUAAUGGAAUUAAUACGUGUGUGUAUAUAUAUAUAUAUAUAUAUUGAACAACAAGCCUUAAGAAACUCGAUUGCUUUACUUAAUUUAUUGGAGGGUAUUAUAAUAAUUUAUUGUUUAUUUUUUUGAAAUAAUAAAACCGGUUUCUCUCUCCUGUUCACUCAUUUCUCUCUCUUCUACUCUCUUAUCUUCCUUCCGGCCGCAGUAAAACGUUGAUGGUUUUCAAUUUGCCAAAUGCCAAAACUGCAAGUGCCACACUGAAGUACCAUUCCUCAUCCAAAGAAAUGGUGUUUUUCUUCAGCCACCAAAAUCAAGAUUCAUAAACAAUGCUCACAAAAUACAUAUCACCGUUAUUUAAUCACAAAAACCAUUCUCUGCCAUUAUUUAAUUUUACCAUAUAGUUAUGAUAUUAAAUUAGAUAGUAAUAACGAAACAAUCAGAAGCUAGAACAUUAAAAAAAAAAAUUGUCCCUUUCUCUGCCUAUCAAUUGCCAGGUUUGGUUAGUCAUGGCCGUAAAGUCUAUGAGGGAGCUAGAUGAGGACGUUGGGGUUAAAGACGAACGGGAAGCCAUGGAAGGAUCUUACAGGAAGCCAGAAAGAAUACUGUAAAUUGGUUGCAGUAAAUGAAUAUGAGAGGAGAAAGAUUAGUUUUUUUUUAAAAAAAUAAUAAGUAAAAUCACUAUGAUAUCCUUAAAUAAAUUUAUUAAAACAAUAUAAAGUAUUAACUAGGUUUGUAUCAUACCGAAAAAAAGAGUAUGUAUGCUUAGCAAUCUUUUAUAUAUAUAUAUAUAUUAGUUGAAAAUGUCUUGUCCUUCAAUGCCUAAUAAUUGCGGCGUAAAGGAAGUGUUUAAUAGAAAUAAAUAGUCAACUAUAGUAAGCAAACAUAAGGUAGAUAAGUUAUUUGAAAUAAUAAAGUAAGCGUAAUUUCUUUCUUGUUUUCCCUAUUGAUUGAAUUCCAUAUAUAAGUUGUGGCUUGCAGUUAACCGUCCAAAGCGAACAGACUUGACUGCUUGUAGGUUACUAGAGCUUUAAUUGAUGGGCGAAAGUAGCCCCCAAACAUGAGUUGUGUUGUGGGGGCUUUUAACUAACCCUAUUUUUUAAUAAUUUGACUAGAAAGAAUUGACCUCUUGCAUUUGAGUAGAAAUAAAAAUAAGUAAAUUUUACGUUGAGUAAAAAUAAUUAUAUUAAAAUUUAUCUCAAUUUUAUUUGGAAUAGAUUCAAAUGUAACUACUUCACUUCAAACUUAAUUUUAAUUAAAAAUAGUUUCAUAAAACCAAAAUCGUUCAAAAAAAAUCGUAAACGGCGAGGUAAUGAAACGUUUAAAACAUACCAAAAAAGAAAGCACACGUUUAAAAGAAAGAGAAGAAAAGGGCUUGGUUGCUUCGGUUGACUGUGCUCUUAAUUGCCUCGGAGUUCAUUUGCAUAGCACACCAGUUGCCCUUCAAUUUCCCUUUUAUCCGAAAAAAGAUAAAUUAUUUGUUACAAAUUAAAAAAGAAAAACAAUUCUUGAAUAUCCUCGGCUAAGAAGAAAAAUAAGUGAUAUAAUAAAAAAAAUAUGAUCAGUGAUGUGAUAUAACAAAAAAGAUAAAUUAAAAUUAUAAGUGUUAUUAGGAUGUUUGUAAUUUUGUAUUUAAUAAGUAUCCAAAAAUCACAACUCUGGGCGAGGCUUGUUAUAUUUCAGCCAGCUUGAGGCCAUAUUCUUCUAUAUAUUGAAGAAAAGGUUAGCAAUGCGAUUUUUUAAUAUUUUUUAUUGAUUAAAAUUUACAAAAAAAAAAUAAUAUUUAAGGAGUCUUUUUUAUGAUUUUACAGUUUCAAAUUAAUUUUAACUAAUAUAUUAUAUUAGAAAUUAAGAGUGCGUUAAAGAAAAUAUGAAUAGGACGCACUUCAUUUUUAUAUUAUAAAAUCCAAAAUUGAGUACUUAUUCUAGAGAAUGAGAUUUUCAUUCUCGUGAUAUAAUGAUCUCUGCACAUAAUUCAUAAGAGUGAGUUUGUUAUGGUCAACUUUUAAAAUUUGUUUUCGAAUUAAAUUGUUAUAAUUACGAGUAUGUUAUUAUUUUAAAUUUAAUUGACUCACGUUUUAUAUUUUUUCUUUUUCCUCAUUAAUUACUUAUUGGUCUCCAAACACAAUUACGAGAGCCAGAUUAGUUUCAUAUAUUUAUAUUUUUUAAAAAUUAAAUUGAUAUUAUUAAGAGUAUGUAAUUUUUUAAAUUUAAAUUCAAACUAAAUUAUAAUCUAAUUUAUAUUAAAUUAAUAACUAUUAUUUUAAAUUUAAAUUUAAAUUGUAUUAGCUAUUUGCUAUUAACAUAACAACAAAGACAGAUAAGAGACCCGGGUAUUUAUGCAUAGAAAUGAUAGAAGAAAUAAAGGUAUGAGAAGAAAUUGAACUUUCAUAUUUACGAUUUCUCUCCCAUUAUUAACAACUUGCAUAUGACACAUCAAAUAAAAAAACCACAACUUGCAUAUAAGUUGACUUGAAAUUUUUCAGUAAACAUAUAUCAGCUGUAAUAUUCAAUUUCAAAUGUUAUAAGCAUAUAUAUAAUUCAAUUCCAAGUCGAAUGUUUAUAUAUAUAUAUAUAUAUAUAUAUAUAUAUUAUUCUUAUGUGAUUAUGUGAUAUAUAUAGAUUAAAACGAAAUACAGAAAUUAAAAUAUUUUAAUUUCAAAUUAAAAUUUUAUUUAAUUAUAAAAUCUCGAUAAGAUUUAUAAAAAAUUUUAAAAAUUUAAUUUAUGAUGUCUUAAAAUAUCUAAAACAUAUUAUCAAUAGGACUACUACUAUCAUGAUCAUUUCUACCAUAACUGUCAUGGUCAUCACUAUAAUUAUCUAUCACUACCAAUAUGACUAUUGUCGUUAUCAUCGUUAUCGUCAUCAUCAUCAUUGUGAUUGUCACCAACAUAAUUAUUGUUGUCGAUAGUGACGAUGAGGAUAGACAUAUUAGUGACGACGAUCAUGAUAAUAGUAGUAGUGAUCUUGACGAAAUUAAAUAUUUAAGGUAUUCAAUUUUCUAUUUAAUAAAUCUCAUGAACAAAUUAAAUAUGAUUUUAAUUUAAAUUAAAAAUAUUUUAAUUUUAAUCUUUCAUUUUAAUGUAACUAAUGAGAAUGAUUAUUCUCGGUCUCACACCCACAAAGAGAAUCAUUCUCAUAUAUAUUGUGUUUCUCUAAGUUUUGUAUCAAAUUUCUCCUAUUUUAGACUUAUUUAAUUAUUUUUUACUGGCUCUAAAAUAGUUUGUUUUUUAAAGUUGACAUAUGGAUUACUGGAACCUUUUUUUUUCGAUAAAAGGAACCUGCUAUUUCAAAACCAUGUGAAUAAUGCUUAAUGUAUAUUAUGAAAUAUGAAUCUCUAAUGAAGCACAAAUAGCUGACCAAGUAACUCCAAAUAGCUACCAAAUGAGGACGACCUACGAACAAAAUGCAUUAAACGAGGGAAUUGGUCCAAUUCAAUUAACUCGAAAGGUUAACAUAUUUUACUAGCAAAUUUGAAGUUAUGUAUUGUGCAUGUAUUUUGUAUAAGAGUGUGAUCCUAUCUACUGCUAAAAUUAAACGUUUGAGUCCACUAUUCCGAGUGUUUGAUUUUUUUUUCUCCUGAUCAGUUUCUAAAAAUUACUAUUUUACAAAACAGCUUUUAAAAAAUAAUUUUUAGAUAUAAAAGGGAGAAUUAAUUUUUAGUAAGAGAAGAAGAUGAAAUGGUAUGAGGAAAAACAUAAAUAACAGAAAAUUAAAAGUAUAAAUCAAAAUAACUUAAAUAUUUAAACAAUUUUUAAUUUUAAAAACUAAAAAAGGAGUAUAGUUUUCAAAAAUAAAUUUUAAAAUUUAUUCUUAUCAUAUAGAUUUUUUAUUAUCUAGAAUAAAAAAUAAUUUUUAAAAAUUCGAAACAAACAUGCCCCAAAUUCAAAGUUUUCGGUGGUUUUCAAUUUUCUUAUAGCAUAAACAAGUAUAAAAUCGUUUUUUUUAUAUAAAAAAACAAGUAUACAAUUUCCAAUACAGUUUAGAUUGAACAGAUCUUGACGCCUUAUCACCAUUACUUCGUAUAUCUUACAAACCAAGCUAGUUGACUCAAAUCGUUGGGAUUAUAAUUAGGUUAAAUUAUUCUGUAGAUUCUCAUAUUAUUAUAAUUUUUUAAUUGAAUUUUAAAUUUGUAAUUAAGUUUUUAUUUUAAUUUUUUGUCAAAAAUUUGAUAAACUUAACGAAAUAUUAUAUUAUAUAUACAUAUGUAAGUGCCAAAUGUUAUUCCAUAUAAGCUCAAAUGGUGUUGCCGUGCUCCACAUGGAAUUACCCUACCCCAAUCAUAAAACAUGAAUUUCAUAUUGAUUUAGAAUUUGUAUCUAUGUGUGUAGAUGAUCAAAUAUUUCAUUAAAUUUAAGAGAUUUUUUCACAACAAAUUAACAUGAAAAUCUGAUUACGAAUUUAAAAUUAAUAUAGAGAUUAAUUAAAAAAAUUAAAUACAAAAACUUAAUUAAAAUUUUUGUAAUAAUAGCAGACAUAAAGACUAAUUUAACCUUAUAAUUAUAAUAGUCGUGAGUUGAUACUAAGAAUAAAUGAUUAUGGUCUCCUUUCCUUUUAUAUUUCUUACACAAAACUCUAUCUAUUUUUAAAGUUUACAUAAAAUCUAUUUUAUUUUAUAAAUAUUUAUAUUUAAUAAAAAUAUUUUUUAUAUAAAUUUAAGAAGUAAAUUCUUGUUAUAAUUUUUACAUUUUUAUAAAAAUCUCUUUUAUAUUUUCAAAUAUCAUAAAAAUAUCUUUCCAUUUAUAAGCAUUAUGAUUAAAUCUUUGUAUUGCGGUAAAAAAUUAAAAUUCUUAAAUUCUUAAAUGACAACUAAUUAAAAUAACUUAAAGGGAUAACGAUAAAAUAUUAUAUUAAAAUCUUGAAAAUUAUACUCUUUUUUAUAUUUAAAAUAAAAAUAUUAAUUUAAAUUUUUGUGAUAAGAAAUCUAAUAAUAACUUAACAACAUAAAUUAUUAAUAAGAUAGAAUAAAAUAAUUUUUUCAAAAUAUUUUUCAAGAAAUAAAUAAUAAAAACAUAAAACCAUAUUUAAUUGAUUUAAUUAUGUAUUACUAAUUCACAUGAUUAAGUAUUUAUUAAUUUUUUUGUUGCAAUAAUUUUGAAAUAAUCAUUACUACUAUAUAUACUUUUGUCAUUAAUAAUAUUUAGUUUAUAUCUUAUUAAUUUUAAGUUAUCUUAAAAAUUGUGAUUUAAAUAUUAGUAAUUUCAAUUUUUUACUAUUGCAAAGUAUUUAGUUUUAAUGUAUAUACACUAUAGAAUAGUAUGUAUAAUGUUUAAGAAUAAUUUUGUGUAGGUCUAAUAAAUAAAAGGGCUUUUCUGCAAAUAGAUGGGUAGUAAGAGUAAUUUGUUUUGUUAUAUAAUCACCACUUCCUAUCGUUUUUCCUUGUGAAACUAGUUUUGAAUUUUUUGAGUAAUAUUUUGAAUUCAAGUAUUGUGGAUGAAAAAACGUUGAGUGAAAUAUAUUACAAAAGUAAUUAGUCAUGCUUUUCAAAUAUUAAUUAUAGUAAAAGCUAAUUAAUAUUUCGCAUCCAUACGACUAAAAAAAAGUAUUAAAACAGAAGGAGAAUUGUAACUGCCAAAUAAUUGUAAGUACCAUUUCAUAACAUUAUUCACAUGUAUGUUACAUUGCAUCCUAUUGAAAUGUAGCUGUUACGAAUAUAUUAGGAAAAAAGAAAGUGGGGAAAUACUCAGUCUUAAACAUUUCAAUAGAAAAAUGAUAACUACAACUGUAAUAAAUAAACCCGACGGCACCAAAACUAAAUAAGCAGGACUAAUUCUUUCGUGCUAGUUCGUUCCUUGCUUCACACCAAGACAGAGAAAGAGUUUCAAGUUCGAACUUCGAAACCAAAGCAGUAAAACUAGAUCAGCACGCAUAGAUGCACCAAUUUAAGUCUCGUACUAAAAAAAAUAUAUAAAAACAACAAUAAUAAUUUAUUAUGAGAAAUGGAAAUGACUAAUCACAGUAUUUUUUUUCUAAUUUAAAAAAACAGAGACUCAUUUUUCAAUUUUCAGAUAUAUUAAUACUCUUAACUAAUUGUGAAAUUUAUUAAUGAAAUACUUGCUCAUUUUUUUUUAUGCAAGUGUAUGCAUUUUUUAAGUCAUUCUUUAUUAUGAGUUAUGUCAUUAAACAUAAUUAUCAAUUAAAUUAUUUUAUUUUAUAUAAAAGGCAAGUGGUAGUAUAUGAUAUAUAACAUAUCCAAGAUGUUUCCUAAUUAAUGACACGCUUUGGAAGAUUGUGAAUUGUGUAUUGGCGAGAUCUUUAUUCCCUCCCUCCCAGGUUACUCAUUCUGUUGUGGACCUUGUGAUGGCCUAGCGUAAAAAAAGAAAAAAGAUUCACAUUCAGCUUCUACCGCGUUUGCUUAUCGCUUUCGUCACGUCUUUACUCCCCUCACGAAGCUAUUCAUUCACAUCUACAAAUACCCGCCAAACUGAGCCCAAAACGACCAACACAAACAAGAAAAGGAAUCAUUAAUUCUUUCCGUUCCAGUAGUAGCAGUUUAGUUUAUUUCCUCAACUCAAACUAAAAUGCCGAAAAUGGGACUCAAAAACCUGUUCUUCUUCAAAACAUCACCUUCGCCACCUUCCUCUUCUCCCACAAGAACCUUCUCCGAUUCACUAAUGGACCAAAACAUCGAAACCGCUCGCGCCAUCAUUUCCAAAUGGGAACUUAUUUCCCCUUCUGACCAAGCCGCCCCUCUAUUCAGCAACACACGCCAAGAAGCCAAACAGUACCUUAACGCUGUCAUGAGCCUGCAGUCCACUAUGCAGCACCUCGUCGCACUGGAUUCC
rnacentral:lncRNA from 1 species